UACGAAGGGGGCUAGCGUUGCUCGGAAUGACUGGGCGUAAGGCGCGCGUAGGCGGACCUGCAAGUCGGGGGUGAAAGCCCGAGGCUCAACCUCGGAACUGCCUUCGAUACUGCGGGUCUCGAGUCCGGGAGAGGUGAGUGGAAUUCCUAGUGUAGAGGUUGAAAUUCGUAGAUAUUAGGAAGAACACCAGUGGCGAAGGCGGCUCUGGGAUAACAC
rnacentral:rRNA from 1 species